rnacentral:rRNA from 1 species
GACGAACGCUGGCGGCGUGCUUAACACAUGCAAGGCGAACGGAAAGGCCUGUCCUUCCUUGUGUUGGACGGGUACCCGAGUGGCGAACGGGUGAGUAACACGUGAGUGAUCUGCCCCCAACUUGGGUAGAAGCCUGGGAAACUGGGUCGAAUUCCCGAUAGGACGGCAGGGUGGUGCCGGUGGUGGAAAACGAUUUUCUAGUGGUUGGGGAUGAGCUCGCGGCCUAUCAGCGUGUUGGUGGGGUAAGGGCCUACCAAGGCGGCGACGGGUAGGCGGCCUGAGAGGGUGGACGGCCGCAUUGGGACUGAGACACGGCCCCGACUCCUACGCGCGGCAGCCGUGGGGAAUCUUGCGCGCUGGGCGGAAGCCUGAUGCAGCGACGCCGCGUGGGGGAUGCCGGCCUUCGGGUUGUAACCUCCUUUCGACCGCGAGGAUGCCGCCUGGUUGGAAGGGUGGUGACGGUAGUGGUAGAAGAAGCACCGGCUAACUACGUG